rnacentral:rRNA from 1 species
UACAGAGGUCUCAAGCGUUGUUCGGAUUUACUGGGCGUAAAGGGCGCGUAGGCGGCCAGCACAAGUCAGUUGUGAAAUCUCCGGGCUUAACUCGGAAAGGUCAACUGAUACUGUGCGGCUAGAGUGCAGAAGGGGCAACUGGAAUUCUCGGUGUAGCGGUGAAAUGCGUAGAUAUCGAGAGGAACACCUGCGGCGAAGGCGGGUUGCUGGGCUGACACUGACGCUGAUGCGCGAAAGCCAGGGGAGCGAACGGGG